rnacentral:rRNA from 1 species
CUACGGGGCGCACCAGUGGGGAAUAUUGCACAAUGGGGGAAACCCUGAUGCAGCAACGCCGCGUGGAGGAUGACGCAUUUCGGUGUGUAAACUCCUUUUAUAUAGGAAGAUAAUGACGGUACUAUAUGAAUAAGCACCGGCUAACUCCGUGCCAGCAGCCGCGGUAAUACGGAGGGUGCAAGCGUUAUUCGGAAUCACUGGGCGUAAAGCGCGCGCAGGCGGCCUUUUAAGUUGGAUGUGAAAGCCUAUGGCUUAACCAUAGAACUGCAUCCAAAACUAUCAGGCUAGAGUCUGGGAGGGGAAGAUGGAAUUAGUUGUGUAGGGGUAAAAUCCGUAGAGAUAACUAGGAAUACCAAAAGCGAAGGCGAUCUUCUGGAACAGUACUGACGCUGAGGCGCGAAAGCGUGGGGAGCAAACAGGAUUAGAUACCCCUGUAGUC